AGUGAGCGCUGGCGGUAGGCCUAACACAUGCAAGUCGAACGGCAGCACAGUAAGAGCUUGCUCUUACGGGUGGCGAGUGGCGGACGGGUGAGGAAUACAUCGGAAUCUACUUUUUCGUGGGGGAUAACGUAGGGAAACUUACGCUAAUACCGCAUACGACCUACGGGUGAAAGCAGGGGAUCUUCGGACCUUGCGCGAUUGAAUGAGCCGAUGUCGGAUUAGCUAGUUGGCGGGGUAAAGGCCCACCAAGGCGACGAUCCGUAGCUGGUCUGAGAGGAUGAUCAGCCACACUGGAACUGAGACACGGUCCAGACUCCUACGGGAGGCAGCAGUGGGGAAUAUUGGACAAUGGGCGCAAGCCUGAUCCAGCCAUACCGCGUGGGUGAAGAAGGCCUUCGGGUUGUAAAGCCCUUUUGUUGGGAAAGAAAAGCAGCAGGUUAAUACCCCGCUGUUCUGACGGUACCCAAAGAAUAAGCACCGGCUAACUUCGUA
rnacentral:rRNA from 1 species